UGCAGUCGAGCGAUUUCCUUCGGGAAAGAGCGGCGGACGGGUGAGUAACGCGUGGGUAACCUGCCCUGUACACACGGAUAACAUACCGAAAGGUAUGCUAAUACGGGAUAACAUGAAAGAGUCGCAUGGCUUUUUCAUCAAAGCUCCGGCGGUACAGGAUGGACCCGCGUCUGAUUAGCUAGUUGGUGAGGUAAUGGCUUACCAAGGCGACGAUCAGUAGCCGACCUGAGAGGGUGAUCGGCCACAUUGGAACUGAGACACGGUCCAAACUCCUACGGGAGGCAGCAGUGGGGAAUAUUGCACAAUGGGCGAAAGCCUGAUGCAGCAACGCCGCGUGAGCGAUGAAGGCCUUCGGGUCGUAAAGCUCUGUCCUCAAGGAAGAUAAUGACGGUACUUGAGGAGGAAGCCCCGGCUAACUACGUGCCAGCAGCCGCGGUAAUACGUAGGGGGCUAGCGUUAUCCGGAAUUACUGGGCGUAAAGGGUGCGUAGGUGGUUUCUUAAGUCAGAGGUGAAAGGCUACGGCUCAACCGUAGUAAGCCUUUGAAACUGAGAAACUUGAGUGCAGGAGAGGAGAGUAGAAUUCCUAGUGUAGCGGUGAAAUGCGUAGAUAUUAGGAGGAAUACCAGUUGCGAAGGCGGCUCUCUGGACUGUAACUGACACUGAGGCACGAAAGCGUGGGAGCAAACAGGAUUAGAUACCCUGGUAGUCCACGCCGUAAACGAUGAGUACUAGCUGUCGGAGGUUACCCCCUUCGGUGGCGCAGCU
rnacentral:rRNA from 1 species